GGAGAUGUAGCUCAGUGGUAGAGCACUUGCCUAGCAUGUGUGAGGCCCUGGGUUCAAUCCCCAGUAACACCC
rnacentral:tRNA from 1 species